AGUGGCGCACGGGUGAGUAACGCGUGGGGAUCUGCCCUGAGGUCUGGGACAACCGCUGGAAACGGCGGCUAAUACCGGAUGAUGCCCCUUCGGGGGCCAAAGAUUUAUCGCCUUGGGAUGAGCCCGCGUCCGAUUAGCUAGUUGGUGAGGUAACGGCUCACCAAGGCAUCGAUCGGUAGCUGGUCUGAGAGGACGAUCAGCCACACUGGGACUGAGACACGGCCCAG
rnacentral:rRNA from 1 species